rnacentral:rRNA from 1 species
GACGAACGCUGGCGGCGUGCUUAACACAUGCAAGUCGAACGGAAACGCCCUGCUUUUGUGCUCUGCUCGGGUGCCGAUCGCGUGAGUAACACGUGUGUAACCUGCUCUUGACUUUCGUAUAACUUCAGGUAACUGGGGUUACUAUCGUAUCGGAUACCCUGCUCCAUGGAGGGCGUUGGAAAGUCUCGGCGGUUGCGGUUGGACUCGCGGCUUACCAGCUUGUUGGUGGGGUAGUGGCUGACCAAGGCUUUGACGGGUAGCCGGCCUGAGAGGGUGACCGGCCACAAUGGGACUGAGGGACGGCCCAGACUGCUACGGGAGGCAGCAGUGGGGAAUAUUGCACAAUGGGCGGAAGCCGGAGGCAGCAACGCCGCGUGCGGGAUGACGGCCUUCGGGUUGUGAACCGCUUUCGCCUGUGACGAAGCGUGAGUGACGGUAAUGGGUAAAGAAGCACCGGCUAACUACGUG